rnacentral:lncRNA from 1 species
AGCUGAGGGAGCGGAGCCGGCUGCGGCCUUGGCCAGCCCAGAAAGGGGCUCCUACAGUGCAGUGGCGGGCUGAAGGGCUCCUCAAGUGCCGCCAAAGUGGGAGCCCAGGCAGAGGAGGCGCCGAGAGCGAGCGAGGACUGUAAGGACUGCCAGCACGCUGUCACCUCUCACUAAUAUAGAUUGCCAAUCUAUUUGUUGACCAGGUUUGCUGGAGUUUGGAUUUACUACCAAGUCAUAUUUGGAGCAUGCUGGAAUCUUACAACUGAGAUUACUGAGUCAGAAACUAGUUUGACUGUUUUCGUCAGCAUGGUUGAGACAUUAUCCCUGGCAGAAGGCUGGACUGGCAUGGACAUCAUUUGAUAAGUUCGUCUCCUCUUAACAAUCAAAGCCUGUUUUCCAGUGCUAAUAAACUGUUGCCUUAUAUAUUGUUUUCCCAUUUUUAUAGUUGUUUACCGCAAAAAAGAGUCUGGUACAAGUUACUUUGCUAAAACCUUGAUAAAGUUUUAUUCUAUGAUUCUUCAAUCAAUGUUUCUGUUUUGUUUAUUCUGUUAUCUCUGUUAUGUCAUACCAUAAUUCUCUCAUUAAU